ensembl:lincRNA
AAAAGAUUUUACAUUUUACUUUCUUUCUUUGCAGACCCUCCAAUAGUUCUGUUUAAACAGAUGUACCACAGAUGUGGAAACAUCUGGCAGGUCAACACUAUUCUGCCAUGACCAUACUCAGUGAAGACAAUGGACUCAGCUACCUGCAAAGGAUAUCAACACUAUGGAGAUGCUCUUUGCUUUGAUCUUGUCCUCCGCUGAAGACAUCAGGCUUAGCAACAUUCCUGCGUGUCUAGAAUAUCUGUUCUCCCUUUGCUCCAAGGCAAGUACUGUAUGUAGAUGUCUCCAAAAUUGA